AGUGAACGCUGGCGGUAGGCCUAACACAUGCAAGUCGAACGGCAGCACAGUAAGAGCUUGCUCUUACGGGUGGCGAGUGGCGGACGGGUGGGGAAUACAUCGGAAUCUACUUUUUCGUGGGGGAUAACGUAGGGAAACUUACGCUAAUACCGCAUACGACCUACGGGUGAAAGCAGGGGAUCUUCGUACCUUGCGCGAUUGAAUGAUCCGAUGUCGGAUUAGCUAGUUGGCGGGGUAAAGGCCCACCAAGGCGACGAUCCGUAGCUGGUCUGAGAGGAUGAUCAGCCACACUGGAACUGAGACACGGUCCAGACUCCUACGGGAGGCAGCAGUGGGGAAUAUUGGACAAUGGGCGCAAGCCUGAUCCAGCCAUACCGCGUGGGUGAAGAAGGCCUUCGGGUUGUAAAGACCUUUUGUUGGGAAAGAAAAGCAGCAGGUUAAUACCCCGCUGUUCUGACGGUACCCAAAGAAUAAGCACCGGCUAACUUCGUG
rnacentral:rRNA from 1 species